AGAAUCUCACACUCAGCCUGCCUCCCACACGUUCCUCUUCCCGCCCAGUCCUAUCAGCUAACUUUUGCCUCUCAGGAUUCAGAUUCAUCUUCUACAGGUUUUUCAACAAGGAAAUGCAUGACCUUUCCAGCCUCUUCAGUCUUCUUCUCGACCUAUGAACAAGUUUUGCAUUUUCUGUCUGAAAGGAGGAUGAAGAGUUUGGCAGAGAAGAAUGUGAAGCGGUGCAAAGCAGGGCUUCUGACAACUGACUUAGCAGUUCUCUUCACUUGCUUGCUAAGGACACGAGUACCUCAACGCCCAAAUCCAGAAAGAGAAGCAGGAAGCGAUGGCGGCCUGCGAAGGACACACCCCUGGACGCCGAGUCCUGGGUUCUUGGGUUCUCAGCCUUCCCGCUGCACAGCAGGGACCUCAGAAUCGUCCCCCUGUGAAUUCUCUCACCCAUAUUCUCAUCCUUCCCACUGUUUUCCCUGCUUCUCCCACUCACCCUAUUCUGGGAAAAUUCCAGAGAUAAACGUGGGAAACCACAGGCUGCACUUCCUUCGGUGCUUCUGCAUUUCCCAGCGCCCAGGAUCUGCCCGCUGGAUUACAGCAGCUCCUGAAGACCGUUUCUGA
rnacentral:lncRNA from 1 species